CCACACCAACUUGCAAAGCCACCAACAGUGCAUAAGGGUUCCCUUGUCUCCACAUUCUCGCCAACACUUGUCAAUUCUUGUCUUUUUAAAGAAUAGCCAUUCUGACAGAAUGUAAGUUCCACGAGCGCAGAGCUGUCUUGGGUCGUUUUCCCUGGUUCCAGGUCCUCCGUGCCUGCAGGAGCUCACGGCGACACAGACCGGCAAAGCUAUAGCACAGAUGAGGUAUUUUUGCCUAAAAAGAGAAGCCACUUGGAGUUCAGAGGGAUUGCGCACGUGCUGCGGACCACGCUGUUCGUCAGAUCUGGGAUAUUAUGCUGCUCUGACUAAAAAUGUGAGGCAGAUUGUGUUCCCUCGCACAGGUGAAGAGGAGGAACGAACGCAGCGACGUGUGUGUGCAGUUGGAAUGGAAAGAGGUGAUGCACAGCCCGUGUCCCGCCUAGCACGUGCUUUAUGUCCUGGGGGAACCUGGCACAGCUGUGCCUGGCGUGCACACCUGCACGGUCGGGACUCACAGUUUUCUCUGUCCCCAGUGGUCCACUGAGCGCCCCUUCGAGAACGCUCUCUCUCGGUGCCCGCUGCAUUCACUGUCUCUAAGGGAGGAGAGGCCUCUUGACUCCAAAGAGUAAACAUGAUGAAUUCCGUGAGUCCCCGGGUGCUGUCCUACACCUCAGGCCAUCACGUCGCUCUCGGCGGCUGCAGAAGCCGAGCAGUUCAAGUCUCUGUCGCGUCUUCUUGGCUCCAUGGGUCACACUCGUACUGUCCUAAUGAUUUUAGAGUCCUGCGGCCUGGCUGGCUGGCCGUGACCUCGGUGGAGUUCAGAGCCAUGCGCAGCCUCCUUUCCCUAGCGUAUACGCAGUGGGUAACAGUGAGAGGUGAGCCUCCUUCCCGGGGCAGGAGUCAGACUGCAAGGAACAGCCCAUUAAAAUGA